rnacentral:rRNA from 1 species
GGGUCAGUAGGUUGGUCGUGCCACCGGUACGUACUGGUCUCACUGAUUCCUCCUUCCUGAAGAACCGUAAUGCCAUUAAUUUGGUGUUGCGGGGAAACAGGACUGUUACUUUGAAAAAAUUAGAGUGUUUAAAGCAAGCUAACGCUUGAAUACAUUAGCAUCGAAUCAUGAAAUAGGACGAUCGAUCCUAUUUUGUUGGUUUCUAGGAUUGACGUA